CACCGUCUUGUGCGGCGAAUAGUUGAUGAACAGGAAGCCGCGUUCCUGGUCGAUCAGGUGGAACAGCGGAUUCCAGAUGAACCAGGGCAGGAUGAAGUUCGGCAUGGUGUUGGCCACGAAGAACUUGCCCGAGGCGAACAUGUUUACCCGCUG
rnacentral:ncRNA from 1 species